AUACGUAGGGAGUGAGCGUUGUCCGGAAUUACUGGGUGUAAAGGGUGCGUAGGCGGGACUGCAAGUCAGAUGUGAAAUGCCGGGGCUCAACCCCGGAGCUGCAUUUGAAACUGUGGUUCUUGAGUGAGGUAGAGGUAAGCGGAAUUCCUAGUGUAGCGGUGAAAUGCGUAGAUAUUAGGAGGAACAUCGGUGGCGAAGGCGGCUUACUGGGCCUUUACUGACGCUGAGGCACGAAAGCGUGGGGAGCAAACAGGAUUAGAUACCCUGGUAGUCCACGCUGUAAACGAUGAUGACUAGGUGUGGGGGGACUGAACCCUUCCGUGCCGCAGUUAACACAAUAAGUAUUCCGCCUGGGGAGUACGGCCGCAAGGUUGAAACUCAAAUGAAUUGGCGGGG
rnacentral:rRNA from 1 species